CAUGCUAGACGUAGUUUGAUCCUGGCUCAGAACGAACGCUGGCGGCGCGCCUAACACAUGCAAGUCGAACGAGAAUCCGGGGCAACCCGGUAGUAAAGUGGCAAACGGGUGAGGAAUACAUGGGUAACCUACCCUUGAGAAGGGAAUAACCCGCCGAAAGGUGAGCUAAUACCCUAUACGCUAUCUUUUUUUCGAAAAGGAUAGGAGAGCCGGGUCGAGGACCUGGUACUCAAGGAGGGGCUCAUGUCCUAUCAGCUUGUUGGUGGGGUAACGGCCUACCAAGGCUACGACGGGUAGCUGGUCUGAGAGGAUGAUCAGCCACACUGGCACUGAGAUACGGGCCAGACUCCUACGGGAGGCAGCAGUGAGGAAUAUUGCGCAAUGGGCGAAAGCCUGACGCAGCGACGCCGCGUGGGGGAUGAAGGUUUUCGGAUUGUAAACCCCCUUCAUGAGGAAAGAUAAAGUGGGUAACCACUUAGACGGUACCUCAAGAAGAAGCCACGGCUAACUUCGUG
rnacentral:rRNA from 1 species